rnacentral:rRNA from 1 species
ACGGGUGAGUAACGCGUGGGAAGCUACCUUGUGGUAGGGGACAAGAGUUGGAAACGACUGCUAAUACCCUAUGAGCCCUAUGGGGGAAAGAUUUAUCGCCAUGAGAUGUGCCCGCGUUAAAUUAGCUAGUUGGUAAGGUAAUGGCUUACCAAGGCGACGAUCUAUAGCUGGUCUGAGAGGAUGAUCACCCACACUGGGACUGAGACACGGCCCAGACUCCUACGGGAGGCAGCAGUGGGGAAUAUUGGACAAUGGGGGCAACCCUGAUCCAGCCAUGCCGCGUGUGUGAUGACGGCCUUAGGGUUGUAAAGC